AAAAAAAAUUGUACAAUAUUGGCUGGCAACAGAUGGAAAAAGAUAAUUCUCUUUCUUAUUCAC
rnacentral:tRNA from 1 species